rnacentral:rRNA from 1 species
UUUAUGGAGAGUUUGAUCCUGGCUCAGGAUGAACGCUGGCGGCGUGCCUAAUACAUGCAAGUCGAGCGAACGGACGAGAAGCUUGCUUCUCUGAUGUUAGCGGCGGACGGGUGAGUAACACGUGGAUAACCUACCUAUAAGACUGGGAUAACUUCGGGAAACCGGAGCUAAUACCGGAUAAUAUUUUGAACCGCAUGGUUCAAAAGUGAAAGACGGUCUUGCUGUCACUUGUAGAUGGAUCCGCGCUGCAUUAGCUAGUUGGUAAGGUAACGGCUUACCAAGGCAACGAUGCAUAGCCGACCUGAGAGGG